rnacentral:rRNA from 1 species
GAACGCUGGCGGCAGCCUAAACAUGCAAGUCGAACGGUAACAGGAAGUGCUUGCACUUCGCUGACGAGUGGCGGACGGGUGAGUAAUGCUUGGGAACUUGCCUUUGCGAGGGGGAUAACAGUUGGAAACGACUGCUAAUACCGCAUAACGUCUACGGACCAAACGGGGCUUAGGCUCCGGCGCAAAGAGAGGCCCAAGCGAGAUUAGCUAGUUGGUAAGGUAAAGGCUUACCAAGGCAACGAUCUCUAGCUGUUCUGAGAGGAAGAUCAGCCACACUGGAACUGAGACACGGUCCAGACUCCUACGGGAGGCAGCAGUGGGGAAUAUUGCACAAUGGGGGAAACCCUGAUGCAGCCAUGCCGCGUGUGUGAAGAAGGCCUUCGGGUUGUAAAGCACUUUCAGUUGUGAGGAAAAGUUAGUAGUUAAUACCUGCUAGCCGUGACGUUAACAACAGAAGAAGCACCGGCUAACUCCGUGCCAGCAGCCGCGGUAAUACGGAGGGUGCGAGCGUUAAUCGGAAUUACUGGGCGUAAAGCGCACGCAGGCGGUUUGUUAAGCUAGAUGUGAAAGCCCCGGGCUC